rnacentral:ncRNA from 2 species
CUGGCGUUCUGCCUGACAGGUGCUCCACGGCCAUGCCACGGAGUUAAACGGGAAGCAGGUGAACCAAGCCUGCGCUGCCCCCGCAACGGUCAGCGGAUCAGCAACGCUGCCAAGAACCCGUUCAAUGCCUGUCCGUGAGAGAACCAGGCCGUCGAACCGCCCUGAAAGCCACUGGCCCUUUUUGCUAUUGAUUC